rnacentral:rRNA from 1 species
GAUGAACGCUGGCGGCGUGCCUAAUACAUGCAAGUCGAGCGAACGGACGAGAAGCUUGCUUCUCUGAUGUUAGCGGCGGAGGGGUGAGUAACACGUGGAUAACCUACCUAUAAGACUGGGAUAACUUCGGGAAACCGGAGCUAAUACCGGAUGAUCUUUUGAACCGCAUGGUUCAUAAGAGAAAGACGGUCUUUCUGUCACUUAUAGAUGGAUCCGCGCUGCAUUAGCUGGUUGGUACGGUCACGGCUUACCAAGGCAACGAGGCAUAGCCGACGUGAGAGAGGGGUAGGCCACACUAGAGCGGGACCAGGGACAUGGGGCCUAAGAGACGCCGCAGAAGGGUAUGGUCCGCAAUGGGCGGGAGCAUUGCGGAACAACGCGACGUCAGAUGUGGAGGUCUUGCGUGCGUGAAGCUCUGUUUUUAGUUGUGAACAGAUGUGGAAGUUACCGUGCACAUCGUGACGGUACCGAAUCAGAAAGCCCCGGCUAACUACGUG